GUUGUAGCUCAGUGGUAGAGUGCUUGCCUUGCAUGCGCAUGUGUCAGGUCCUGGGUUUGAUACUCAGCACCACA
rnacentral:tRNA from 1 species